GAAAUGUCUUGCCCAAAAGCAAUUCCCGCUGGAAAAAGUCAAAAGGGUUCCUGGCAUUAAAAAGACCUUGCGUCAUUCCUGAUGAAAUUAGCAGCGUCGCAUGUUUAGGGACUGCUAUGGAUGCACUUUGGUCAAAGUGAAGAGGCAGGGAUUUGGGGUUUAAGCCCCCGUCUGGUCAGUAGCCGUCUGCUUUCACUGGCUGCGAACCCCGGGACCAGCACUUGAAAGCAUCUCAGACCCGCAGUCCAUUUUUUACUUGUCUUUAAGUGCAUGCGAUGGGAAUUGCUAACCUCGGCUAAGGAAAUUUCAUUUCCCCUAUCCUGCUAAACGGUUCUGGUCGACAUAUGUUUGUUAUCAGAGAGAAGUGCUAUGAACACAGAGCCAUUUUCUUAGCAGCUCUUUGACUCUGCGUUACCAUAGUCCCACACGGCAUUGGUCCUUUCCCGUUGGGAAGUCAUGAAUAAGAGACUAUGAGGCUUGCACGUCAGAUCUUCCUCAAUUAAUCCACCAUUAGCAUGUUUGGGAUCCUCUACUGGAUGGUUAACAGCAGCUUUGGUAACUGUAUGCUGUCCAUACCCAAUUAUGCUCUGCUAAAAAUGAACUCUGCAGAACAACCUUCCUGAGCUGUCAGUGUCUCCCGUUUUCCUAUUUUAACGCUUGUGUGUAGUGGCAGGCGACAGAUGGUGUAGAUCAGAUCGAUUUGAUUGCAUUAGACGAUUUUUUUUCCCUCCUCUCCCCCCCGACUCCUUUUCUGGAAGCCCACAUUCAGCUGAGAGGCGACCGCCGGGGACACGGGAAGCGAGAGCAGCCGCCGAGGUGCGAAUGCAGCGAGCCGCGGCCGUGGAGGCGCCGGGUCCUGCCCGGGUGGAUCCGUGCUAAUCCGGCGCCGGGAGGGAGCAGCUUCUGCCGCCCGGAGCCCGUCCCCAGCGCACGUCAGAUGACUCCCCGGUUUUACACACGGUUGGAGUUCUGCUCGAAACCUGGAUUUAAAGGGAAUCUGUUGCCGUGUGUGACAUCUCUUGCGAGCUCCCAGAGAGAACUGAUGGAGCAUACAGCUAGGGAAUAGGAUGCUGGAGAAGCUCAGGGGGAGACGCCAGGCAAUCACCAGGACGGGGAGGAACGGCGCUCGUUGGAUAUGGGACGAGAUCUCGCAGCCCUUGUGGAUUCUCCUUCCUCUAGAGGGGAAUUAUAGUUAUGGAUUUAUUGUCCCGGUGCAGCACUUCCACCAGCGGCAGCAGCAACAGCAGCAGCUUUCUGACUCUCUUCGGUGACGGGUAUUCUUGGGUGGAUAAUACGGAUUACGUUGUUAUUGCUUAAGAAUACGCGUAGUCGAGGAGAGUACCGGCGGCGGGCAGGCAGGCAGGCAGCGCGACCGCCCCCAGCCCUCCAGCUGGCUCCUACAGCCUCUAGUUGCCAAGGCUCCUGAAAGAGGGUCAGGGGUGACCUCUGAGCCCCUCUAAAACCAAAGCCUCAUGUCCAUGCUCGCUAACAUUACCAGUUCUGCAAGGGACUUGCAUCGUGCUGAAGCGUGGACACAUGAGAGGAGAACAACACAUCUAGUACGGGACAGCUUGGAGGAGUGGUAUUGUGUGCUCCAGAGAUGUGAGAGGAAUUGCAGGAUGAAAGCAGUGGGAAAGCUAAAAAUGAGAUUUGUGUGUACAAAACGAGAUGUUGGAGCCCCAUAUGCUUGGAGGUGAGCCCCAGACCUGCCCGUGGUCAGCACUCUCUGACUUUGGCCCCACCAUGUAGAUGGAGCAACGUCCUGUGUGCCCGGCUGCUGCAUGGAGCUGCCCAUGUGCUGGCACCCUGACCCAGCAGAGAUGCUGCCAGUGCCGGCUCCACCCUGCUCGCUGCUGCCUGCCCACCUGUCUCCUUCCCCCAAGCCAUGGCCCACACCACCACCACCACCGGCAUCUCCGUCGCUACCCACAGCACAAAUGCAACAUGGAACAGCGAGUGUGGCUUGAGCAGGCUGAGCUUGUUAAAAUUGCAGUUAAAUAAAUUGUAGGGCUGUAAUACUGGGAGGCUGAUUGGGAUCACAAGAUAUCAGUGUCAUAUCCUGUGGCUUUUAUGUAGUGAGAUGUAGAUUUUUGCCAUCACCAUCUGGCUAUCCAACAGAUAACAACCAGAGAAAAUGGACUUGCAAAUCUCCAGUUGUGAAUAACUGAUAUAUUGUUGCCAGUAAAACGAGGACCUGGUAAACUGCCAGAAGGAAAAGUUUUUUUGAGUAUGAUCAGACUUUUAAUAUGUGUCAGCUUUUGCCUAUGUGUAAAUUAAAGAAACUCCCUAAUUACCAUACAUUUUAAACAGUGUGUCUAGAGAACUCUGGUCCUGUAGAACCCAGAUGUGGCUAUGUUAUCAGCUUCAAAUUCAGGCAAGUAAAUAAAGUAGCAAAUGUACGACUCAACUGGUGUAUCUGCACAGUACAGAUCAUCUAGGUGUGGGUUAAAUGCUAUGAGGAAAGAACAAGAAAUAAGCAAAAAAUACAGUAGUGUAGAAUAUGCAUGUUCUUAACUUCUAGAAAAUCUCAACAGCUGGAAUUUUAGAAUGUGAUAUUUAGACAAAUGUAAAGAGAGAAACAGUGUGUUUUUCUCUGGAGAAAAAUGAAAUAGGUGUACAGAUCAAAUUAUAACACUUAGUCCUUCUAGGACAAAUUCCAGUUGAGGAUCGUGAAGUAAUCUGAAAAUAUUAAUGAUUUAGCCUCACAGCUAGAUUUCAGGUAGAUAAUAAUAAUUAUUGCUACAAAUAAUUUCCUUCAUUCUUGCUCUGAAAUGAAAAUUGAGGCAUAGAAGUUUUAUGUAUUUGUCCAAAGUCCAUUUUACUGCUGUAACCAUCCUUCUAUAGAUUUACUUCGUAUUAAGUAUGCCCUUUUCCAAAUAUUGUAUGUGAUAUACUAUUCAGUUCAUGAAUUCUAAAAAACAAGCAGCUGAUCUUCCUUAUGAAGCAGUGCCUGUGAACAUCUCCAUUUGCAUUUGAAUCCUCAAGCAGUGACAAUCCUGCUUAAAAAAAAAAAAGAAAAAGAAAAAGGGAAUGAUGAAAAUCAGAACAAAAUCUGUCAAGGGCCCAUCUGUGACUGCAUAUCAGAAUAUCACUAAGAUGCUCUGAGGAACAAAGUUGUCUCCAAGUCUAACACAUAGUGCUUUUGUCUACGGAAAUAAUUCAAGAUGGGUGAAAUGAGGGCAAAUAACAUGAAAAACUGUUUCCCUACUGAACAGUCCUGGAAAGCAGCACCUUUGUUUCAUGGAUAAUCUUGUUUGUGAUACACGUACCAGUGCUUAGAUACUAAAGGUUUUACAUGACGAAAUACUCAGCAUGCCCAUAUCUGCUUCAGAUAAGCAUGCAUAGCUGUUGCUUCCAGUCAAGAGUCAGGGAGCCAGGGGUCUUUGGCCCUGGCAGGUGAGAACUUGGGUUAGGUAUGUCUGUGGCAAGCUUUCAUAGCCUGCUACCUGAAGCACUGGGGAAACAAAAGGAUAGACUCCACCCUGGACUUAACAAUACUCUUGAAACCACAUCUAUUUCCUUCUAAAUAGGAACACAUAAAGUUAGGAAAACCUAUUUGUAAGCUAUUUAUAUGUCCUCUUCAGGAUCUGAAUUCCUGCAAGCCUUAGUCAUAGCUCUUUGCUCUCACAUAUGCAAUAUCUGGAACUGACAACUGGAAAUAGGAGAAACAUGGCAUUAAUGUUGUUCUAAUGCACUGUGGGUUUUUUUUCCUUCUAUUUCUUAACUGUUACAGUAUGCAAAUAUUUAGUUAACUGGUCCUCAUGGUUUCUUUUUAUUGAAUUGCUUUCACUAUGGCAAAUAAAUAUUCAUAAAGAAAUGUGGACAAUAAAUCAUUUCCAAUAGUUCAAACCAUUUUCUUUCUAGACUGCAUAUAUAUUCAGCUGUGACUUGCCUUUAAUAUUUAAUUCAAAAGACAGACUUGUAGAAGGACAAUAGAGAUAAUGUGUCAAGCAAUAAUUAAAACAGGGGGUAUGAUUAAAACCAUUUUGAUCUACACUGUGCUCUGUCAAACUCAUAAUCUGCCAUGUUUGCUUAGAUGAUUCUCCACUUGCUUUGUAUGGAACCCAAAAUAAACUUUUGUUUGAAGAUACUGCACAGAACAAAAGAUUUCAACCCUAAGCUUUUGGGACCUGGAGACCUUCCCUGCUCUGGGCUUUGGGUAUGUCUUCUCUAUCAUCCUCACAAGACAAAUCUCAGGCAGCCAUCAUCCCUCAAUUUAACAUGGUGACUUCCCUCGGAAGUAGGUCCAUAUACGUGGCACAAUACAACUAGGGGACAAUCCAAUGUAACCUGGUUCACCAUUUAGACUGAAGCUAAGAGCUCCAAAAGAAGUGCAAGUUAAAGAUACAGGGAGUUUAUACACUUGGGGACCCUGGUUCAAAUUCAAAUUCAAAUAAGAGUGAUAUUUCUUGUUUCACUGUGUGUUUUGGCCACCAAAAUACACCUUGUAUUUGUCCCAGCUUCAUUAUCUUUUCUGAUUUGUUGCUGAUUUUGGGCCAUAACUCAAUAGAGCACUUAUGUACAGACUUAAAGAAAUUGAUUUAAGAAAACACUACUCUGUUUAAUCCUGGGCAGACAUUCAACUUUGAAAUCAAUGGGACUUAUGAACAGCCCUGACCUUGGGGUCUAAAUGGUUGCUGAAUCAGUGCAUUGACAGAAACAUACUGGAAAAGAUAAUAUCCAUGUCUAAUCAGAAUGAUCGUCUCUACUUUCAUGGGAAAUUACCCAUAGAUAACACAUUAUUCUGCUCAAGAAAUCCAUUUUAUAGCAGUUAUUAGAAAACCUUAACACAUUUUCUGUUUGUCAGACAUACUAGGUGAACAGUGUCUCUCCUUGAUAGUGUAUCUGAACUAUACUUCAAAUGAAAAAAUAAAUUACAGGAAAAGUGCUGUCACAAGGGACCAUUUCUAAUUAUUUACUGAGUCUUUCCCAGUUGCCUGCUAUGUGCCAGACUUUUGGGAAACAUGUGGACAGAAGACAAAGCAGUGCGGUUCUGAAAUCCCACGGACUCAGUCAAAGACAAUAGCACAUGAAAUACCAUGUUAUGCAAUAUCACGUAAACAAAGCUAUCUCCUAAGAACUGCACUCACAAGGGAUGCCUGCCCAGUCUACAUAUAGAAUUCUAAGUGAACACAUUCUUAUUACACUGAGAAAAUGGUAAGAAUAAAAGGUGUUUGUUUCUGGUAUAAUAACGUACAGAUUGCACUACUUAAGUGCAACUGUGGCUGAAUCCACAUAGUUAAAAGAAGUAAGUAAAGUAGUUGAUGUUAUACUGCAUGAAAUAAAAAUCUUCUUGCCAUUCCUAAAAAUGUUUUACACAAGUCAUUUUUAUUAUAAUUAGAAGUUGGCAAACAGGAUAUCUUAGAUGCUGCUUAUAGAGCUGAAACGGGUUUAAGAGGGGAAAUAAAUUAUAAUGGGUUCUAUUACCUCAUCUAAUUCAGUAAAUGAUGAGCAUGAAGACCCUGAGAAGACAUGGAAAGCAUUAGUGAGUUUUACCUCUCUCUGCAACCCUGGACAGACACCAUGAUUCACAUGAUUCUACUGUUUCUAGGACAAAGCUUAGGAGUAAUACAUAAAAAAAACAGCUGUACUAUUUUAACUGGAUUCAUACUAGUGGAGACUCACAUGGCUACCCGUACCUAUCCUGAUGCUGCCUACUCUAGAGCUGAUGAGUCAGGAGUAUGCAGCUGCUGUAUUGCAUGCUCAUUGCUAACAAGCUCUCUAUACUGCCUGUAAGCCUCUGAGUCAACAUUCCAUUAAUCAAAGGGUAGAAUGUAAUGGGAAAGAACAGGAGGGUGGGAUUUGUCUUCCUAUAUAAUUCUUAAGUUACCAAAAAAAAAAAAAAAAAAAAAAUUAAAAAAAAAAAUCAAAGCUUCUGCCCCUUUUUUCUCAUGUCAUCUACUUUACCCUCAGAGUAGGUGAGGUUAGAGCAAAUCUGCAUUCUAAACCAGGUGCUGCUUCUGAUUGUCUUCCCACAUAUAGUCAUGAAUUGGAGCUAACACCUGUUCUCAAUGAAAUCAGUAAGUACCUAGCAGGACCAACAAGCUUAUAGAGCUCAAGGUGAGGAACAGCUCUUUGUUUGCUUGAGGGCUUUUUCCACCAUGAAGGCUAUCUAGAAGGAGUAAUACAGGUAUAACAUGAUGUUAGGCCCUUCUUCAUUAGUUCUUCGGUUUCUGCUGGAAUCUCGCUGACUUGGAGCAAGCAUUGAUUUAGAGGUAAGUUUUACAACUGAGUUAGGAUCUGGGGUUUCAGAUUUUCAACUUUU
ensembl:lncRNA